rnacentral:lncRNA from 1 species
CGGACAGGGGAAGGAGCGAAGAUGGCGGAGUGAGGCGUGCCCCGGGCAGCUGGCCUGCGGGCCCGGGGCAGGCCUCCCGUGAGAAGCGGAGUACUUGUGCUGGACCGUGUGAGGAACCAUAUCACACAAGAUGAAUAUUUUCCUGACCUUAGGUGCUUUUAUAUUCAGCUCAACAUUCUGAACUCAGGACUUGGCACACUCAACACAGGAAAGCCGUGAGGAUGCAGCCGUCCUGUUGACUUCAGCAAGAAAACAAACCAUGGACUUGGGUCUUCUGCAGCUUUUGAAUUGGAAAGACGGUGUUUGCAAGUAGAAGGAAGAUGCUGAAUUUGAAACAAGUGCUUAGGUUCUGUGGCGUGAGUUGUUUUCUUUUUAAAAGAUCCAAACAAGAAGACUGAACAAAUACCAAGUGUGGGUGACUUCAGGUUUUUUUUUUAAUGUCUUCCAAUUUUAACACUAUUAUAAGCACAGUUGACCGCAGUAAGUUCCAAAUAUUUAAUAUAAUUUGAAGUGAAAGAAAUGUUAUCUAAAUUCUGGCUCACUCUUUGACAGUUUUCCUGGACAAAAACAAGAUACGAUAAAAGCAGAAACCAGGUUUGAUUUUGUAUGGGAGUGAAAUCAUUACAGUUUUAUGGGUAUAAAUCUACAUUUUUAAACAAGAUUUUUCUCUUGGAGAAGAAACCUGUUGUUUAUAAGAAGGCUUUGGACAGUUUAAUAGUCUUAAAUGUUCUGCUUUGCUGUUCUAGUCCUUCUCAGGAAGGCCCAGCUGGGCCUGUGGCUAGUUCAGAAUGGGAGGAAACAUAGGCUGGGACAAUGCUCACCCUGAACUGCCAGCGUGUGGGAGGCCAAGGCAGGAAGAGCAGAUGUUCAGGGCCAGCUUGGACAUCAAGAGGCUCAAAACCAGUAGGAAAAAAAACAGAGCCCAGUAACACCCUCUUUUAUAUUCCUUUUGUGGAAUCAUGUAGCAUGUGAGACUGGGUUGGAAGGGAACUGGCAUAUGUGGUAUUUCAGUUAAGGUGAUGUGGUGGACCCUGAUGUGUAACUGGCCUUCACCUUUGGACAUACAGGAAUGAAGGAAAAACUAAAGCUUGGCAUAUAAAUCUUUUCUUCUAAGAAAAAGAAGCAAAGCUGUCUAAUGUAGCAUUGUCUGACUUUUCAACAUUUUUACUUUAUGUGGUUGCAUUUUUUUAUAAAAGUAUAAAUAAGUUCCUUCAACCCAAAA